rnacentral:lncRNA from 1 species
GUCAGGUGUUAACUCCUGCUAUAAAUGAGUAAACAUGUGAGUAAGAGGCUUUCAGUUCACUGCACCCAAGCCUGCAUGAAAUCACGUUUGAGCUUCUGUAUCAGCAUCAGCAAUGUAAUCAUUUGCUUUGGCUCUGAGGCUUAUCCUUCUUAGUAUUAUAAAGAGCUAGUGAGUUACAUGUAUUCGUUCACAGAUUAUUUCGAACUGCUUACCUAUUGUUUCUGGAUAUCUGAGGAAACUGGAGAAUAAUGAUACAGGAGGACCAUUCCUGUUUGGGUGCUUCAGUUUUUCUGCUAAGAAAAGGCAAAGCUGAUGGUGACAUGCAGAAUCAAACUCUAUAGCCCGGUUAGGCUAUAAAGCAGCACACACAUUGUCCGUAGUAGGAGUCUCCCUGUGGUGGUCGUGGGGAUGAAGUCAGAAGUCCUCCUUGCGAAGGCUCGACGUCUUCCUCUGUCUGACCUUCUUACAGUGUAUUCAAACUGUUCAAAGCCAUUCAUUUUGUAUUGUUCCUUUCUUUAUGUUUGCAGAGCUGACCAUGAAAUGUUGAGAUGUCGUUCUCCUUCCCUAGUUUCUAAAGCUAGCUUAUUUAACCCCUAUAUGUUCAAACCCUAGACCUACCUGAGCUCCUGAUCUCAAUGGUUCACACUGAAAAUAAUUGUUAUUCUUUUUUUCUUAUUUCUAAUCCUAUUCACCUAUCAUCACUUAUUUACAGCAACAGAUGUAUAUCUAUUGCUUGGGAGAGACUAGAGGAUCCUUAGUGCUCUAUCUUCUUUGUCUUUCUUGGUUGCAAGAAUCUCUCCAUUUAAAUCUUACUUGCACUCCGCUUUAUUAAAUGGAAUUCUGAACCAGAUCUGAUUGGUGAAACUAAACUCUCAGUGUCUUGUCUGUGAAGAGCUUUUGUACCAAAUAAAUGCUGCAGAAGGAAGGUAUCAGGUAUCUCCGGAAGGUAACCUCAUCAAUCUUUAAUGUCAUUGCAUCUUUCAGUGAGGUGAUAAGAGAAGUGUGGGGAGAAAAAUGGCCACGGAGAUACAUGAUAGAGCCAUGUAAUAUUACGUGUCUUUAAUUAGCUAUUGCCAUGUACAGUCCUGAUGAAUUAGAUAGCCAGACAACUUUAUUAACAGCUCCUGUGAGCAGCACGCUGUAUUCUGUAGUAGAGGCUUUCUCCUUUUGGGAGCCCCCUGCCCAGAAACAGACUUUGUGAACUUAGAUUAUUUUCAUCUGUAGGCUACAAAACAGUCAUCUGGGCUUUCCCAGCCCUUAAUUGUUACAUGCCGUAUCCUUGGUGCAAAUCUGGUGGUUUACUGUAGCACUUUUCUGUUGCAGUGCCAAGUGAAGCAAAUUUUCAUAAACAUUCAGUCGGUUUUGUGAAAGAACAUUUGUUUUGCCUCCCAGCCCUCUGGUAGUAUUUAUUACUGUCAACUGUUACAUUUCACCUGGGAAGUGGCCCUUUCAAACUUAGGGCUAGCACAACGUCAGACUUUUCCAACAAAGAGGGAAGCAGUGCCAUGCACUUAAAGCAUGUUAGAAAAAGUAUUUGACCCUAAGUAUUUGAAAAAAAAAAAAAUCACAACAUUUUUACUACAUAAAGGAAAACGAAUGUCAUGAACUAUAUAUUGCUGUACAAUCAGAUACUGUAUCUGAAC